GACGAACGCUGGCGGCGUGCUUUACACAUGCAAGUCGAACGGUGAAGGUGGAGCUUGCUCCGCCGGAUCAGUGGCGAACGGGUGAGUAACACGUGGGCAACCUGCCCCUAACUUUGGGAUAACUACUCGAAAGAGUAGCUAAUACCGGAUAUGAAGUCUGUAGGCACCUACGGAUUUGGAAAGUUUUUCGGUUAGGGAUGGGCCCGCGGCCUAUCAGCUUGUUGGUGAGGUAGUGGCUCACCAAGGCGACGACGGGUAGCCGGCCUGAGAGGGCGACCGGCCACACUGGGACUGAGACACGGCCCAGACUCCUACGGGAGGCAGCAGUGGGGAAUAUUGCGCAAUGGGCGAAAGCCUGACGCAGCAACGCCGCGUGCGGGAUGAAGGCCUUCGGGUUGUAAACCGCUUUCAGCAGGGAAGAAGCGAAAGUGACGGUACCUGCAGAAGAAGCACCGGCUAACUACGUGCCAGCCGCCGCCGUAA
rnacentral:rRNA from 1 species